GCGGUUAUGGUGCAUAAGGAAAUCUUUAUGCACCCUGCAUAAAUCCAGAAAUGGUUUUGGAGUACAACUCACAGAAACCAUUUCCACAUCAAAAUGAUUUUGGCAUAAUUGGGCUGGGAUUUAUGCAGAGUGCUGGAAACCAUUAAGUACAUCUAAUGAUUUUGUAGUACGACUCACAAAAACCAUUUUUGAAUUUAUGCAGGGUGCAUAAGGAUUUCCUUAUGCACCAUAACCG
rnacentral:pre_miRNA from 1 species